rnacentral:lncRNA from 1 species
UGUUUUGGAAGUGUUCAUGUUGAAAUCGGAGCAAAAACAGAAUAUUUGGAAUUUUCUGUAAAGAAUGGGACUGAGAAAUUAGCAGAAAAUGCACAGUGUCAGAAAAUUAUGAAAAUUGGCAGAGAUGUUAGGAAUAUUUGUAUGAGGCUAGAUUUAAAGUUUCAGAUUAUUCUGACACCCGUAGAGAGAGAAAUUUGAUCCGAAAGCUAUCGGAUAAAGAUCGCAGUUCGGUACAGUUCGCAGUGACCAAACGGGGUCGAAACUGAAAUGUUAAAAUUUCUUUGG